AAAUACAAGUGGGUCCCACAAUCAUAUCCAUUGUUGUUGUUUUUUCCCGUUGAACUCCCUAAAGACUCUCAGACCAAAGGCUCUGGCUUCACGCAGAUAAGGAAGCAGAGAACGAAACGAAGAAUCAAAGAAGAAGAGUCAAUCAAUGGCGAUGUCUACUUUAACACUUACACAAUCUCUCUAUACACGUUCCUUCAGACCCACCAUCUUCUCUUCUUCUUCUUCUUCCUCAUCCUUCUCGUGUCUCUGUUCUUCCCCCAAUUGCGAGCCGAAACUCUCCGUAAAGAAACGCGUUUUCGGAGUGGGUUUAGGGUUAUUAGCUGCUUCGAUUCUCUCUCUGACGCCUCUGGACGCAGACGCAACGAGGAUUGACUACUACGCCACUGUAGGAGAUCCUCUCUGUGAAUACAGCUACGCAAAAUCGGGACUUGGAUUUUGCGAUCUCGAUGUUGGAUUUGGUGAUGAAGCCCCUCGUGGCGUUCUCGUCAAUAUCCAUUACACGGCGAGGUUUGCAGAUGGAACAUUGUUUGACAGUAGCUAUAAGCGUGCAAGACCACUUACUAUGCGAAUUGGGGUCGGCAAGGUUAUUAGGGGUCUAGACCAAGGGAUUCUUGGAGGCGAAGGAGUACCUCCUAUGCGAGUAGGCGGGAAGCGUAAACUUCAGAUUCCACCUAAGUUAGCUUAUGGACCAGAGCCUGCAGGAUGCUUUUCUGGUGACUGUAACAUACCUGGAAAUGCAACUUUGCUCUAUGAUAUCAACUUUGUUGAGAUCUACCCGGGAAGUAAUACAAGAUGAAGCCAACUCCAAUUUUCGUUUGGUAAAGGAAGAAACAACUAUGUAUAUGAUGUAUAUUACCAGGAAAAACACAUUGCAGGAACUGAUUUUGGGUUCAAUUUACAGAGCACCAGAGAGGUUCUUAAAGGCUGAUGUUACUUUGUAUACAUCUGAAGAGCAAGAAUCAUAUCAGUACAAUAAGUCCUUCAAAGAAUGGUAUGGUGGGCUAGUUGUAUGUAUAGAAAGAUUAUAUGACCCGUGUAUGUUUUCUAGUGAUGAUGAUACACAUUUUUUAAGCUUUAUGUGAUCUUUACUAUCCAUUUUUGGAUGUUUCUUUUAGUAAUGUAUGUAAAAAGAGAAAGAGAGUGGGUGAAAAGAGUUAGAAUAUUA